UACGGGGGGAGCAAGCGUUGUUCGGAUUUACUGGGCGUAAAGGGCGCGUAGUCGGUCAGCACAAGCCCGUUGUGAAAUCUCCGGGCUUAACUCGGAAAGGUCAACUGAUACUGUGCGACUAGAGUGCAGAAGGGGCAACUGGAAUUCUCGGUGUAGCGGUGAAAUGCGUAGAUAUCGAGAGGAACACCUGCGGCGAAGGCGGGUUGCUGGGCUGACACUGACGCUGAGGCGCGAAAGCCAGGGGAGCGAACGGG
rnacentral:rRNA from 1 species